CGCUUAACCCUCCAAUAGUCCGCACUCCGCCAGAGCCAGUGUCUCCUCCUCUUUACAGGCCUUUCCUCACCUCCCUCCAUGCUGUCCACUUCCUCUGUAAAGCUCUCAACCCUGUCCCCUUCCCCCUCUCUCCUGGGAAAGAGCCCUCCCAUGCCUAGCUGCUGCUCUUAGGGACCCUGUGGCUAGGUGCGCGGAUGGAAAUCCAGGUCCUCGAUGAUCUUGAAGUAAUGGCUCCAGUCUCUGACCUGGGGUCCCUUCUUCUCCAAGUGCUCCCGGAUUUUGCUCUCCAGCCUCCGGUUCUCGGUCUCCAGGCUCCUCACUCUGUCCAGGGGAGGAGGUGCUGGCGAGUUUGAAAUUUGGGAGUCUUGGCCGGGCGCAGUGGCUCACGCCUGCAAUCCUAGCACUUUGGGAGGCCUAGGCGGGCGGAUCACGAGGUCAGGUGAUCGAGACCAUCCUAGCCAACAUGGUGAAACCCCCUCUCUACUAAAAUACAAAAAAUUAGCCGG
rnacentral:sRNA from 1 species